GUGUAGUGACGGUGACAAUGAUGAUGGUCAUGGUGAUGAUGACAAUGAAGACUUCUCAUCCACAGAGAUUCUGGCUUAAUUGGUUUGCGGCCUUAAUAUUACUUCGAUAACCAGGACCUCUGAUAACCUGCCCCCACCGAGUAAAGACUUAGCUGGGAAAGUCAGCUUCAUGUGAGGUAAAAGGAACCAGCCCUCUUGUGCAUGCUUUCCUGCCUUUCCACCUUCUGCUAUGGGAUGACACAGCAAGAAGGCCCUCACCAGAUGCAGCUCCUUGAUCUUGGACU